rnacentral:rRNA from 1 species
CAAUAGCGUAUAUUAAAGUUGUUGCAGUUAAAAAGCUCGUAGUUGAGUUUCUGGUGUGAUCGUCCGGAUCGGCGCAAGUCGUAUUCCAGGUAUGGUUUCGCCAUGUCUCUGGGAAAGGCUCUGCACUUCACUGUGUGGAGUUGGCCUCAGGGAGUUUACUUUGAGAAAAUUAGAGUGUUUCAAGCAAGCUCUUGCUUUGAAUACUGCAGCAUGGAAUAAUACGAUAAGACUUCGGUUUUAUUUGUUGGUUUCUAAGACUGAAGUAAUGAUUGAGAGGGAUAGUUAGGGGCAUUCGUAUUUAACUGUCAGAGGUGAAAUUCUUGGAUUUGUUAAAGACGAACUACUGCGAAAGCAUUUGCCAGGGAUGUUUUCAUUAA